rnacentral:rRNA from 1 species
AGUGAACGCUGGCGGUAGGCCUAACACAUGCAAGUCGAACGGCAGCACAGUAAGAGCUUGCUCUUACGGGUGGCGAGUGGCGGACGGGUGAGGAAUACAUCGGAAUCUACUUUUUCGUGGGGGAUAACGUAGGGAAACUUACGCUAAUACCGCAUACGACCUACGGGUGAAAGCAGGGGAUCUUCGGACCUUGCGCGAUUGAAUGAGCCGAUGUCGGAUUAGCUAGUUGGCGGGGUAAAGGCCCACCAAGGCGACGAUCCGUAGCUGGUCUGAGAGGAUGACCAGCCACACUGGAACUGAGACACGGUCCAGACUCCUACGGGAGGCAGCAGUGGGGAAUAUUGGACAAUGGGCGCAAGCCUGAUCCAGCCAUACUGCGUGGGUGAAGAAGGCCUUCGGGUUGUAAAGCCCUUUUGUUGGGAAAGAAAAGCAGCAGGUUAAUACCCCGCUGUUCUGACGGUACCCAAAGAAUAAGCACCGGCUAACUUCGUG